CCAGGAGGGGUGGGGGCGCUGCAGACACUGCUGGUUCGGAAGCGACCGCCGCUGCUGGGCAUCCUCGGCGCCACUG
rnacentral:miRNA from 1 species